GAGAGAAGUUGAUAAUAUAAAUGGAACAUUGUCAACAACCACAGGAAGUGGCAUCAGAUUUGAGGAGCAGUUAGAAACCACAAGGCCCGAGUGACAGUGUUUCACCUCACAUCUUCGUCUCUGCUCCAACUGAACACAAGUAUCUUCAGGUUCAAUAGAGGACACAUCAGAAUCAUCAUAGAAAUGUCUCUAGGCUCUGUUGUCAUUCUUUACUCACUUUAUUUAAUGUCAGUGGCAGGACAGAAAUUGGACAACAAGAUGACAUUGAUUAGGAAACAGGGACAGACUGUCAUCUUCAGCUGCCAAAACAUUGAUCAGAAUUGCAAUUAUGUCUACUGGUACCAGAAGAAGGAGGGAGAAUCUUUCAUCUUGAUCCUCCGUAUACAAAAUGGUUACUGCACUGUCUAUUCAGAUUACAACCAUCCUCAAAAAGAUGAAUUCUCAGCCGUGAGACAAAGUAAGACCUGUAAUCUGAAGAUCCAGUUAGUUAAAGUGUCCCAUUCUGCCACCUACUACUGUGCCUGCUAUGACACGGCAACCCACAUAUGCACUUUUAUUUGGCUCUGGUAUAACACUUCAUGUGACAGAUCGUGUAAAAAAACCCAAAGUGACGGUCUACUCAGUGUCCAAACCUGAGCCGAACAGGAAAACCACCCUGCUAUGUCUGGCUAGAGACAUGUUUCCAGACUUGGUCAAGAUUUCAUGGAAGGUGAUGGAUAAAAACGGCCGAACAAUGGAGGUGCCCAAAGCAGAGAUGGAAGAGCUGGAGCAGAGAGAGGAAGGGCGGACGACAAGUAUGAUCAUCAUUGAUAAAGAGAAGACGUACAGGAACAAAUACAUAUGUUCUGUGGAGCAUAAAUUGGGCACUCAAGAUGUUGACAUACCAAAAGAGGAACCAACUGAAGCUCCUCCAACCACCAUGGCUGCACCAACCACUCUGCACGUUACCUAUGAGGAUCCAACUGAAGCUCCUCCAUCCACAAAGGCUGCACCAACUGCUCUGCAGGCUACAAACGAUUCCUUCCAGUCAACAUGCAGUCUCAACCUGGCCUCUCUGGUUUACACAGUGAUGAUAGUGAAGAGCAUGGUGUACUGCUGUGCGCUCUCUCUCCUGCUGCACAAAAGGAACCUGGGAAGUAGACCCAGCACCAGUAGACCCAUACAUUGAAAGGAUAUGCCCCAGUGUGGAUAGAGUUGUAGUGGGCUGGGAACAACAAGGAUUUUACACCCCAUUGUGGUGUCAGAUUUCAUUUGUGUUCAUUUUAUUUUUUUCCUGUUUUAUUUUUUAAAUGCAAAAAUAUUGUGAGCCAUAGAUUUACACGUCUUCAACAGCUAAUUAUGACAUUAAUUGCAGAACAUUUAAAUUGAGUAUAUUGUGUUUCCCUCCUUAACAUUUAAAUCAAUAUCAUAUUUUACUUUUGAUGAUUUUGGGAGCUACACACUGCAGACACUUGAAUAAAGAUUAAAUUAAGGUUUUCAGAAAAUUAAGGAUCGGACAUCUUUAAGGUAGAUCCUUAUGGUUAAAAUGUAGAUUGUUUUAUGAAUGUUGCCCUGCAAUAUCUGUCAUAGUGGUAAAUUAUUUUCACAAAAUCUGUAUUUGAUUUACACAAAAUAUUUAACUAAAUAUUAUCUAUCAAAAUAUUUUAUUAUUAAAUAUGCAUGCCCAUGAGUCCAAAAUAUGUAUCAUUAUCCAAAAUAAUAUUUAGUAUCUUGUCAUGUGUGUAAUGAAGCGUAAUAUAUAUAUUUUUUUCACAAAAUAGAGUAUGUUUUUUGACAUAGUACUUCAUAUCUAAAUUCAAUUAUUGAAUUAACUUACAAUUAAUAAUAAAAUACAGCUUUUAUUUUACUUUAAAGAACUAAAUUCUGGCUGCUUAUUGAGCAGACAAAAUGCUAUAUGAGUGAAAUCAAUAAUUUGUGCUUUUUUACAUUUAUACAAUGUUGUUGUUUUUUUACAUUGAUAAGGCUUGUUUAAAGAGUGAUAUUUUCCUUGUGUAAGACAUCCUAUCUAGUGAGCAGUGUUUCUCCAAAAAACCCAUAUCCUUUCAGAUAGGGAUGGGUUUAAGAAUCGCUGCCUUCGUGGUUCAACUGUACUGUUUUUGUAUGAGGAAACUGUCACCAUAAUAGAAAAUAAAGGUUACUUAAAAACCCCAAAACAUUGUAUUUCUUUACUAUAAGAACAUCUAUUAUUAUUUGUGAAAAUGUAUUUUAUUUAAUAAUUUAAGAAGCGGAACAAUAAGAUCA
rnacentral:lncRNA from 8 species